ACGGCGCAUGGAGCAGGACGGCACCCUGACCUCUCCGUGGUUGUGGUCGGGACUUUGACCAGCGGCUGCGGCCUUCCGCCGGUGGCCAUCGUCACCGUGACUUGUUCCUGCUCAGGCAAGGCCACGACGCGGAGGAAGAGGCUUUGUGAGCACAGACAGAGCAGGUGCCAUGUGAGCAGUGGCCAGGCUUGCCCAUGUUGCAGGACAUCAGGGGCUGAUCCUGGGAGGUUCAACCCAAGGUUCUUCGUGGAGACACCGCGGCUUUCCAUUUCCUCAGAGGCGUAGGAGAACGAGUCUGCCGAGACUUCCCAGUCCGGGAACAGUGCGGUGUCCUUAUGCCCCUCGCCUCGGAAGAGGAACGAGAUCCCCUGGGCCCAGGGUUCCGUCUCAGGUCCUUUUCAUUCCACAUUCCUGUGGGGAGAAGAUAAAUCUGCUGCAAGUUUAAGGACACAUUCAAAUCCAGGUGAGUUUAGUGUGAGAGAUAGUGGAAAAGGAGACAGUGAAUCGAAUGACAACAGUUCUGAUAUCAGUAGAGAAUGACAACAGUUCUGAUAUCAAGAAAGCACUUUUUGGAAUGAUUGCAAAGCAAGAGGUUGUUUCAGAUCAUUCAGAACAAAAAACAUUUAAGGAUCCUGAAAGGUUCAUCCAGGCAUUUCAUCGCAUCAUGAAAACAGCUACAGGACUGUACUCUCUUCAAGUACCCGUUGCCCUCACGUUUCCCA